AUGACAUGCUUUGGAGGAAAGACUGUCGUGUUUGGAGGUGACUUUAGGCAAGUGCUUCCAGUUGUGCGGAAGGGGACAAGGCCGCAGAUAACUGACGCGACCUUGCGUAUGUCCUAUCUAUGGGAAAGUAUGCAACAACUACGCCUUGUUCGUAACAUGAGAGCCGACAACGAUCCAUGGUUUGCGGAAUUCCUCAUGCGCAUAGGGAAUGGCACGGAGGAGAACGAUGAAGAAAAUAAUGUACAACUUCCAGAGGAUAUUUGUGUGCCCUGCACAGGGAAGGACACUGACAUUGACAUGCUGAUUGAACACGUCUACCAUGAUCUAGAUGAGAACCAAACCGAUCCUACUUAUAUUACCACAAGGGCGAUACUGAUGACUAGGAACGAGAAUGUUGAUAGGAUAAACAUGAGGAUGAUCGAACACUUCCCAGGUCAAGAGAUGAUAUAUCACAGCUUUGACCACGCGGAGGAUGAUCCAUACAACUACUACCCCUCUGAGUUCUUGAACUCGCUUACUUCCAACGGGCUACCGCCACAUAUUCUCAAGCUAAAGUUGAACUGUCCAGUUGUACUACUACAAAACAUUGACCCAGCAAACGGACGAUGCAAUCGAACGAGGCUGGUGGUACGGGGGGUUCCAAAGAAACGCUAUGAAUGCCGAGAUAGUGCUAGGACAACAUGCUGGAAAGAGGGUGUUCUUGCCUCGGAUACCCCUAUGCCCCUCAGACGAUGA
rnacentral:rRNA from 1 species